UCCCUGGUGGUCCAGUGAUGAGGACUCAGUAAUUUCACUGCUGUGGCCUGGGUUCAUUUCCUGGUUGGGGAA
rnacentral:tRNA from 1 species